UACGUAGGGUGCGAGCGUUGUCCGGAAUUACUGGGCGUAAAGAGCUCGUAGGUGGUUUGUCGCGUUGUUCGUGAAAACCUGAGGCUUAACCUUGGGCGUGCGGGCGAUACGGGCAGACUGGAGUACUGCAGGGGAGACUGGAAUUCCUGGUGUAGCGGUGAAAUGCGCAGAUAUCAGGAGGAACACCGGUGGCGAAGGCGGGUCUCUGGGCCGUAACUGACGCUGAGGAGCGAAAGCAUGGGGAGCGAACAGG
rnacentral:rRNA from 1 species